rnacentral:rRNA from 1 species
CCUACGGGAGGCAGCAGUGAGGAAUAUUGGUCAAUGGCCGUAAGGCUGAACCAGCCAAGUAGCGUGAGGGAAGACUGCCCUAUGGGUUGUAAACCUCUUUUGUCGGGGAGCAAAAGACGCCACGUGUGGCGUUCCGAGAGUACCCGAAGAAAAAGCAUCGGCUAACUCCGUGCCAGCAGCCGCGGUAAUACGGAGGAUGCGAGCGUUCUCCGGAUUUAUUGGGUUUAAAGGGUGCGCAGGCGGAAGAUCAAGUCAGCGGUAAAAUUGAGGGGCUCAACCUCUUCGAGCCGUUGAAACUGGGUUUCUUGAGUGAGCGAGAAGUAUGCGGAAUGCGUGGUGUAGCGGUGAAAUGCAUAGAUAUCACGCAGAACUCCGAUUGCGAAGGCAGCAUACCGGCGCUCAACUGACGCUCAUGCACGAAAGUGUGGGUAUCGAACAGGAUUAGAUACCCUGGUAGUC